rnacentral:rRNA from 1 species
UACGAAGGGGGCUAGCGUUGCUCGGAAUCACUGGGCGUAAAGGGUGCGUAGGCGGCCGCUUAAGUCAGUUGUGAAAUAUCCCGGCUCAACCGGGAGGGUGCGAUUGAUACUGGGCGGCUCGAGUAACAGCGAGGUUGGCGGAAUUGACGGUGUAGCGGUGAAAUGCAUAGAUAUCGUCAAGAACACCGAUAGCGAAGGCAGCCAACUAGGGGUUAACUGACGCUGAGGCACGAAAGUGCGGGGAUCAAACAGG